rnacentral:rRNA from 1 species
GACGAACGCUGGCGGCGUGCUUAACACAUGCAAGUCGAACGGAAAGGCCCUGCUUUUGUGUGGUGCUCGCGUGGCGAACGGGUGAGUAACACGUGAGUAACCUUCCCUUGACUUUGGGAUAACUUCAGGAAACUGGGGCUAAUACCGGAUAGGUGCUCCUGCUGCAUGGUGGGGUUUGGACAGUUUCGGCGGUUGGGGAUGGACUCGCGGCUUAUCAGCUUGUUGGUGGGGUAGUGGCUUACCAAGGCUUUGACGGGUAGCCGGCCUGAGAGGGUGACCGGCCACAUGGGGACUGAGAGACGGCCCAGACGCCUACGGGAGACAGCAGUGGGGAGUAUUGCACAAUGGGCGGAAGCCUGAGGCAGCAACGCCGCGUGCGGGAUGAAGGCCUUCGGGUGGUAAACCGCAUUAACCUGUGACGAAGCGUGAGUGACGGUAAUAGGUAAAGAAGCACCGGCUAACUACGUG